UACGUGAUACGGGAACGGACAUACGUC
rnacentral:sRNA from 1 species